AUACCAAACAUACUCUAUUUCUUUUUUCUCUCAGGGUUUCGAUGAAACUCUCACGAUGAUAUUUUGAUUGUGUCAUGGCCGAGAAUGGCAAGAGCAUUUAUUGCUCUACUUCUCUCACCCAAUUUCACCGUUUUUAACCCCAAACAGGGUAUUAACUCCCUCUCUCUCUCUCUUUUCUUUUCCUGCAAGCAUUUUAAUGGUUUUUGUCUCAUUGAGACCCAAAAGUUGCGAUUUCUAUUGGUUUAUAAUGGUUUUUGUCUCUUCUGUUUUAUGGCGGAGUAUCGGGUUGAGAAGGAUAAGGAGCUUCCAAUUUCAUUCUCGACAAGGCUGCGCAAAAGAAAGGAUAAGUACCAUCGGGCAGCAAGUACAAGUUAUAAUACGACUAAACGCUAAAGGUACAGACGCUCGUUUCGGAGAUCCACCAGCCUGGGAUAUCUAUUCAGCUACUUUGGAGUGCUUCUUUGUUCCAGAGCCUAGCUUGUGGUAUAACUCCAUUUUGUUGUAUAUGUAUGUGUUUAUUCGGGGUACGGCGGGGCCCUGUCCCGUCAUAUGACACUGUCAUUACUCUUAGAGGUCUGUGGACAUUUGUGUGGGUCUGUAUAUAGUUGUUGUUGCGUUGUAUGAAUACGACUUAUGUUUGGGGCGUACCCCUUCGUAAUGGCAGCCUUGUCGGCUUGCAUAUAUAUAUAUAUAUAUAUAUAUAUAUAUAUAUAUAUAUAUAUAUAUAUAUAUAUAUAUAUGUUUGGGAUGUUACGUGUAGUGGCAGCCUUGUCGGCUUGCGUAGAUAUAUA